rnacentral:rRNA from 1 species
UACGUAGGGGGCAAGCGUUGUCCGGAAUCAUUGGGCGUAAAGCGCGUGUAGGCGGCUUGGUAAGUCCGCUCUGAAAGCCCGGGGCUCAACCCCGGGAGGCGGGUGGAUACUGUCAAGCUCGAGUCCGGAAGAGGCGAGUGGAAUUCCUGGCGUAGCGGUGAAAUGCGCAGAUAUCAGGAGGAACACCAAUGGCGAAGGCAGCUCGCUGGGACGUGACUGACGCUGAGACGCGAAAGCGUGGGGAGCAAACAGG